rnacentral:lncRNA from 1 species
UCAAAAUAUCCAAUCUUGGGUCUUGGCAUCCGAAGUCCGGUUGGUUUAAAGCUUCUUCUUCCUUGGGAACUAGCAUUAGUGCUACUCGGAAAAACAUCCUUAGGUGCUGGCUCGGAAAUUCCAUGAAUGGAAACAUCCUUAGGUGCUGGUUCAGAAAUUCCAUGAAUGGAAACAUCCUUAGGUGCUGGCUCAGAAAUUCCACGAAUGGCUGGUAAGUCUAUUGUGGAUUGCAAACCCAACGAAGAGAGGCCAUUAUUCUCUAAGAAAGAAGGUGGUGAAGAAGACCCAAAAUCGAGGCUCUCUGUUCUAUCGCUGGACUUGAUAG